AUAGACUAUAUAUUACAUGGACUGCCAACUCUACGCACUAAGCCUAUAUUUUUCAAUAAACAAGUCCCGUUCACGGAGGCGUCCUUAGUUUCGUGGUAAAUUGACUUCCGGUAGAUUUUUUUUUACGUAUAAAGAAACCAUUCCCGAAGAUUUUUACCACCACUUUUACAGCAAAUUAUGAAUGGAAACUGAAUUAUUAUAGAAGAUGUUACAGAGGUAAGUGUGCACAAAUCAAUUUCUGACUUAGAUCUAUAACUGUAAAGCUUUAUAGCUGAUUUUCUUAGCCAAUAUAGACUAAUUAGCCAAGCCUGUAUUUCGUGUAUUUUCUUGUUUACGACAUUGAUUGAAUUGAGGUUCUUGUGAGAGCAUAGCCUAUAUAUAUAUAUAUAUAUAUAAACCAAAUAGUAAGACUUAUUCAGAAGGAUAACCCGGAGCAUACUACUUCCACAAACCUGAUUUGAUUGUCACUAACUUUCAAAUUGAAAGGGAUCUACUACAACUGCUCAUGAAUUUCGAGAUUUUACAGCUAAUAGAGGAACAAAUUUUAUCUGCUUCCACUUAGCCAAACAGCAUGGAAAUGUGCUAUUGUAAUGAGUAGAAGAUAUUUGUCAUUUAGAGUAUCAUGCAACAGCUAAUU